UAACUACUCCCUCCGUUCGCAAUUACUUGUCUCGGAAAUGGAUGUAUCUAGAACUAAAAUACAUCUAGAUACAUCCAUUUCUGCGACAAAUAAUUCCGAACGGAGGGAGUAGCUU
rnacentral:pre_miRNA from 1 species